UACGAAGGGGGCUAGCGUUGCUCGGAAUUACUGGGCGUAAAGGGUGCGUAGGCGGGUCUUUAAGUCAGGGGUGAAAUCCUGGAGCUCAACUCCAGAACUGCCUUUGAUACUGAUAGUCUUGAGUAUGGGAGAGGUGAGUGGAACUGCGAGUGUAGAGGUGAAAUUCGUAGAUAUUCGCAAGAACACCAGUGGCGAAGGCGGCUCACUGGCCCAUUACUGACGCUGAGGCACGAAAGCGUGGGGAGCAAACAGG
rnacentral:rRNA from 1 species